GUUCCCUUUACGUUUACAAUGACAAAACAUUUAUUUAAUUUUUCUUCACUUAGCUAUUUGUGCUUUGUUAUUUAUAAAGACUAUAUAUUAUAAUGAAAUCACACUUCUAGUCAUUUCAACUGCGAUUUAGUAUGGUCUUGAGGAAACGAUGAUAGUCCGUCGGAAGGGGACGAUAAAUGGCUGACCCGUGUUAAGAGAGAGC
rnacentral:lncRNA from 1 species